rnacentral:lncRNA from 10 species
GUAGGAUUAGUAGGAACCUGCGGUAGACAGAAUAUACACAUUCUUCCCCCUACAUCCCAUGUCCACAUCCUAAUGCCAGGAGUGUGUGAAUAUGUUACCUUACAUAAAGAAAGGAACUUUACAGAUGUAAUUAAGGUUAAAGAUUUUAGGUGAGGAGAUUAUCUUGAUUAUCCAGGUGUUCCGCCCAAUUUAAUUAUGAGUCUUUAAAAGAUGAGAACCUUUCCCAACUGAGAUCAGAGUCAGAGGAAGGAGUGACCAUGAAAGUGCUUCCAGGGUGCCAUGUUGCUGGUUUUGAAAUGGAGUAAAGGAGCCACACGCAUCUAGAAGCUGAAAAAGGCGAGGAAACUGGUUCUCCACCAAGGCUUUAUGAAAGGGACACAGCCCUGCCGACACCUUCAUUUUAGCCUACUUAGACAUUGAUCAAAUUUCUGACCUCCAGAACUGUAAGAUAAUAAAAUUGCAUAAACUUGCAUAGUUUUAAUGCACUAAAUUCAUGGUAAUGUGUUACAGUAGCAACAGAAAACCAGUAUAGAAGGUAAGAGGUAAUUUGUCAACUCAUUCUACAAAUCAGAGAGACUUUAAACCAGAGUGGAAGCUAAUUCCAAUGCAAGGGGUACCUAUGGGGUAUAAAAUCCAUACAGAGGAUUUGUAACCUCAAAUUUAAAUGGCAGGCUGGAGACAGAAGACAGAGCCUUAUGUGUCUGCUAGAAUGGGAUCUAGAACAGAGACCCCUGAACAAAGCUGAAAUUCUCACCCUCAGAGAAAAGAGAUGGGGGUCUCACUAUGUUGCCCACACUGGUCUCAAAAUACUGGGCUCGAGCAAUGCUCCUGACCUGGCCUCCCAAAUUGCUUGGAUUACAGAUGUGAACCAUUGUGCCCAGCUUCCAUUUCCUCUUUGCUCUCCAACACAUAUGGACUCCUACUGUCAUCCAAGUUGUUUCACUUAAAACUUACCAGGUUUCUGAAAACCAGAAACAGAUGGACUAAUCCAAACUCCUCAGAACAGACGGCUUAUCAAACUCCCCGCCUUGAGGACCCGGGGCUCCCCUGCGGAGUGCAGGGUCCACGCAAUAAUUCACUCCAACUCCUCCACAUCAGGAAGAACACUCACAGAACUUUCAACAAUUAGCCUUUCCUUGGCCCCAUUAUCAACAACUGUGGGAAAGAUAUGUCCUUAUCUGACCCUGGAGGACGCAAGCCACCUAACUGCCAGACACCAGAUAUUGUUGCAGGGAGCAACCCUCACAAACAUAUGCAAAGAUGAACAGAGGAGGUGGAAAUGGGUGGUCUUGAUCAAUGCAUGCCUUGGCAUCCGGAGUUUGGUGAAAAAUGAGAAAUAAAGAUGCAUGUUGGAUGGAAGUACAGUGCAGAGUCGAAUAAAAUUGCCACCUCCUGCUUUACCUCAAUGACCCCAGUUGGUGCCUGUUCUUUCCCUCCUUUACCAUCAAAACACAACUACAUCAAAGCUGUUUUUACACAAAGGAAUAAUGCCUAAUAAAUAAAAUCCUAUUACUUCCCCUU